rnacentral:lncRNA from 1 species
GUUGUCGUACGAGGAAGUUUCUAAAAAUCGUUAUUGGAUUAUAGUAUUCAUUUCGCAUAUUUCUCGCAAAUUUAUACACUCGUUUUCAAAAUUACGCGACCUCCCUGAAAAAUAUACUAUUUAAAUACUUCAAAUGUCAGUUUUAUGUCACAAAAACUGCUAAAAAUAGCAAACGUAAACAAACUGUCAAAAGGCGUAUUUAAUACCAAUCUCGUUCCCCGAGCCUGCGAUCCUUGGGAAGGAAACGAAGGCUCUGGGAUAAUCCAUCUCAGACAUACAGAAAACUGUAUGUCGACCGAACUGCGCAUGCGUUGGCAAAAGCAAAACAAAUUGCUUGAAAUAUUUUAUUGUUUCGUCUAUAAAAUGACGAUUUUUUCGGGGUUUUGGUGGAAUUGUUGAUGUUCUUCAUAGUGGGAUACAAAAGGUGUGUUAGCGACUGAAUAAGGAAAAUAUUGCGUGUGAAACAGGGUCAGUAUAGAGCCGGCAGGAGCCGCGAAGAGUGCUGUUGUCGAAGAAAAAUGUCACAAUUAAUUGUAAUCUUGUCCAUUCACCUCUGUCUCUGUUUGAAAAAGCUUUAAAUGUAGAGACAUUUGUGGUUCCUCCAGCAUAAUUUAGCCGUUUAACGCCAUUAUGUUUCUAAUGGUCGAAAGAGCGCGUGGAAAGGGCAAUUUUCAAGAACAAAAACAAUUACAAUGUACUGUGUGUUAUUAAAUUGCUACUGUAGUAUCUCAAUUCUAAUAUUAAGUCGGUUAUAAACUUUGAUAAUAUUAAAGUUUUCAGAAGAUUUGUAUAUCAGAGGAAUAUUAAAAGGAAUUUAGACUUAUAAAAC